rnacentral:rRNA from 1 species
UACGUAGGGUGCAAGCGUUGUCCGGAAUUAUUGGCGUAAAGAGCUCGUAGGCGGUCUGUCGCGUCGGCUGUGAAAUCCCGAGGCUCAACCUCGGGUCUGCAGUCGAUACGGGCAAACUAGAGUAUUGCAGGGGAGACUGGAAUUCCUGGUGUAGCGGUGAAAUGCGCAGAUAUCAGGAGGAACACCGGUGGCGAAGGCGGGUCUCUGGGCAAUAACUGACGCUGAGGAGCGAAAGCGUGGGGAGCGAACAGG